rnacentral:rRNA from 1 species
GCCAGACUCCUACGGGAGGCAGCAGUGGGGAAUAUUGCACAAUGGGGGAAACCCUGAUGCAGCGACGCCGCGUGAGUGAAGAAGUAUUUCGGUAUGUAAAGCUCUAUCAGCAGGGAAGAAAAUGACGGUACCUGACCAAGAAGCCCCGGCUAACUACGUGCCAGCAGCCGCGGUAAUACGUAGGGGGCAAGCGUUAUCCGGAUUUACUGGGUGUAAAGGGAGCGUAGACGGUUGUGCAAGUCAGAAGUGAAAGCCCGGGGCCCAACCCCGGGACUGCUCUGGAAACUGCGGCGCUGGAGUACGGGAGGGGCAGGCGGAAUUCCUGGUGUAGCGGUGAAAUGCGUAGAUAUCAGGAGGAACACCGGCGGCGAAGGCGGCCUGCUGGACCGUGACUGACGUUGAGGCUCGAGAGCGUGGGGAGCAAACAGGAUUAGAUACCCCGGUACG